CAAAAGCAGACCGAGAACUUGUUAAACCACUAGGGAUCGAGGCGCGGGGGCAACCCCUUGUCGAGCUCCCUUCCCGGGUGCGUGUGCUUGAUCUCAAGCACUCGUACCUCGGGCUAACGAACCCCGGCGCGGCAUGUGCCAAGGAAUAUUCAUAGAAGCGUCCGCCUUCAUCGCCCCGUACUCGGUGUUUGAUGGAGGUAGGCACGUCUCUUUAAAGUCUAAACGACUCUCGGCAACGGAUAUCUCGGCUCUCGCAUCGAUGAAGAACGUAGCGAAAUGCGAUACUUGGUGUGAAUUGCAGAAUCCCGUGAACCAUCGAGUCUUUGAACGCAAGUUGCGCCCGAAGCCAUUUGGUUGAGGGCACGCCUGCCUGGGCGUCACGCAUCGCGUCGCCCCCGUCCAAACCCACACCUCUUGGUGAUUGUGAUCGGGGCGGAUACUGGCUCCCCGUGCGCGUCCGCGCGCGGUCGGCCUAAAUUUGAACCCGCGACGACUCGUGGCACGACUAGUGUUGGUUGAGCACUCAACUCUCGUGAUGUUGUGCCGAAUGUGGUCUCAUGUCGGGCGUUGUUGUAAACCCAAUGGUUCGAGCAACUCGAGCUUUCGACCGCGACCCCAGGUCAG
rnacentral:rRNA from 1 species